rnacentral:tRNA from 1 species
GGGGUUGUAGCUCAGUGGUAAAGUGCAUACUUAGUUUGUAUGAAGCCCUGGGUUUAAUCCCCAGCACCACCA